AGAAACAUGCUAUAGCAUAGUGUAUAUAUAUAUCAACUUUCAUACCUGUCGAAUUUGUCAGUGUAGUUUACAGUGGCUCCCAGAGUUAAAUGUGGAUUACUGGGAGGAUGGGCAUGCUAGGACAGGGAGCAGGUUUUAGUGGGGAAAGAGGUUCAUGUUGAGUUUUAAUUUUAAGUAGGACAUACAGAGAAAGGGCAAGCAACAGUAGAUAGUUGGAAAUUCAAAAUUUGGGCUUGGGGAAAACAAAAACACCAUUUUCCUUUCCAGUAAAAAUUUCUUUCAUCAUGGAAUAUAUAAUUAAACAGUUGUUACUUCAUAACUGAUUGGUGUAUGUGUUAGCCUUAGGACAAAGGUAUGAGGGUUGAUAUAGCAAGCUUCUUAUAGUUUUUUCCACAUUGUGCACAUUUAAAAAUUUGGUACAGGAGAGUUUCUCUUGAACUUAAAAAUGUAACCAAGGUACAAUAAUUUGAUUUUUUGUCCUAGAAUUUUCAAACUUUAUAUUCUUACAUAACCCCUCACCUGAACUUGGAAAAGGCUUUUCUCUGCCUAACUCACUAAUAAUACACACUUGUGGGCAUUAAUGUACUUUAGGUAUUUGAUAGACAUUUUAAAAUACUUCCUUUUUUUUUCACUUUACAGUCCUUGUAGUGCAGACUUGAACCAUGUCUGACAUUGGUAUGUUAAGAAUCUAAAAUUUUCUAAAAGUCUUAACUAACAUUUGAAAAGAAAUGUUUAAACAAAUGUUUCUCUCUCUAGCCACUAGUACAUUGUCAGUCUCUGAGAGAUAACCAUCUUCCUUUCCUUUCAUUAAACUUAAAAAAUCUGUCUCAAUGUCUGUUAUUUCUCUCCCCCCUCUAAAAUAUUGAAUGUCUGGUCGGUUACCUCAAGUCAUUUUUUGUUCAGAUUAUUAAGAUUACCUUCCCCAUCUUUUCACAUUACCACGGUGCAGCAGGCCCACUUCAAAAAUCCGGCACAAAUUUGAUUUACUCAAGAACAGCCAAUAUGCAAAAUUGUCCGUUAUGUUCAACAGAUAUUAAAUGUCCAUGCUGGUAGGUAAAUGUGUCUGUCAGGCACU
rnacentral:lncRNA from 1 species